GCUGUGAGCUCGAUGAGUAGGGCGGGACACGUGGUAUCCUGUCUGAAUAUGGGGGGACCAUCCUCCAAGGCUAAAUACUCCUGACUGACCGAUAGUGAACCAGUACCGUGAGGGAAAGGCGAAAAGAACCCCGGCGAGGGGAGUGAAAAAGAACCUGAAACCGUGUACGUACAAGCAGUGGGAGCACGCUUCGGCGUGUGACUGCGUACCUUUUGUAUAAUGGGUCAGCGACUUAUAUUCUGUAGCAAGGUUAACCGAAUAGGGGAGCCGAAGGGAAACCGAGUCUUAACUGGGCGUUAAGUUGCAGGGUAUAGACCCGAAACCCGGUGAUCUAGCCAUGGGCAGGUUGAAGGUUGGGUAACACUAACUGGAGGACCGAACCGACUAAUGUUGAAAAAUUAGCGGAUGACUUGUGGCUGGGGGUGAAAGGCCAAUCAAACCGGGAGAUAGCUGGUUCUCCCCGAAAGCUAUUUAGGUAGCGCCUCGUGAAUUCAUCUCCGGGGGUAGAGCACUGUUUCGGCAAGGGGGUCAUCCCGACUUACCAACCCGAUGCAAACUGCGAAUACCGGAGAAUGUUAUCACGGGAGACACACGGCGGGUGCUAACGUCCGUCGUGAAGAGGGAAACAACCCAGACCGCCAGCUAAGGUCCCAAAGUCAUGGUUAAGUGGGAAACGAUGUGGGAAGGCCCAGACAGCCAGGAUGUUGGCUUAGAAGCAGCCAUCAUUUAAAGAAAGCGUAAUAGCUCACUGGUCGAGUCGGCCUGCGCGGAAGAUGUAACGGGGCUAAACCAUGCACCGAAGCUGCGGCAGCGACACUAUGUGUUGUUGGGUAGGGGAGCGUUCUGUAAGCCUGUGAAGGUGUACUGUGAGGUAUGCUGGAGGUAUCAGAAGUGCGAAUGCUGACAUAAGUAACGAUAAAGCGGGUGAAAAGCCCGCUCGCCGGAAGACCAAGGGUUCCUGUCCAACGUUAAUCGGGGCAGGGUGAGUCGACCCCUAAGGCGAGGCCGAAAGGCGUAGUCGAUGGGAAACAGGUUAAUAUUCCUGUACUUGGUGUUACUGCGAAGGGGGGACGGAGAAGGCUAUGUUGGCCGGGCGACGGUUGUCCCGGUUUAAGCGUGUAGGCUGGUUUUCCAGGCAAAUCCGGAAAAUCAAGGCUGAGGCGUGAUGACGAGGCACUACGGUGCUGAAGCAACAAAUGCCCUGCUUCCAGGAAAAGCCUCUAAGCAUCAGGUAACAUCAAAUCGUACCCCAAACCGACACAGGUGGUCAGGUAGAGAAUACCAAGGCGCUUGAGAGAACUCGGGUGAAGGAACUAGGCAAAAUGGUGCCGUAACUUCGGGAGAAGG
rnacentral:rRNA from 1 species